UACGGAGGAUGCGAGCGUUAUCCGGAUUUAUUGGGUUUAAAGGGUGCGUAGGCGGACUGUCAAGUCAGCGGUAAAAUACGGGGGCUCAACCUCCGCCCGCCGUUGAAACUGACGGUCUUGAGUGGGCGAGAAGUAUGCGGAAUGCGUGGUGUAGCGGUGAAAUGCAUAGAUAUCACGCAGAACUCCGAUUGCGAAGGCAGCAUACCGGCGCCCAACUGACGCUGAAGCACGAAAGCGUGGGUAGU
rnacentral:rRNA from 1 species